UGGUACGAUACCUAAUUUAGUGAAUGAUAAAAUCACACACAAAUCAGUGUAAUUAAUGUUAUAUUUUCAUUUUUUUUUUUGGACGAGAAUUUUAGUUCCUUAUGUGUAAGCAUGUAACUCUAAGGGUUAUGUUAUAGCAUUUUUUUUUUAAUUGUGUUGCAUUUAAAUUUGGAUCCUCUACAGGCCUAGCCUGACUAUUGGCAAACUGGCAGUUUGGCACCAGAUCAAAUUCCGUCUACAUUUCUCACAAAUUCUUAAUUAAGGCGAACUUUCAUUAAGUUAUUGUAAAACGGGUUAAAAUUACCAUAAAAACAUUUAAAGUUACCCUUUUAUACUACAAAAGUUACCAUUUUUAUAACAAAAAUUUUACCCUUAUAAAAUAUUUAUAAUGUAUUAGAUUAGUCAUAUAAAUACAAUCAAACUUAUACAAAAAAAAAAAGUUACCCUAAAAUUGAUCUUCUUACACUAAAAUUAACGUAAACCCAUUUUAUACUCCCUCCGUCCCAAUAUAUAGUUCCUGUUUGUAUAUAUAGUUCCUGUUUGUGUCUUUUCACGGUAUUUAAGAAAUGUGAGGAGAAAGUAGCUGAAGUACAUUAAAAGUGAAAAAGCUAGAUAAAAUUUUGACAAAAGUACAAGGUAAAUGGAUAAUUUAAGGGAAAAAAAAUAAAGGUACAAUUAUAGACAAAAGUUAGUGAGAGAAAGUGAAAAAAAAGUACGAGACAAGUGGAUAAUUUAAGGGUAAUACAUACUAUCCAAAAAUAGAAACAAAAACAACAUUUUAAAUCUUUAAAAUAGAAAAACUGGAAUUAUAAUAUGAGACGGAGGGAGUACGAGAGUUAUUAAAAAAAAAAAUAAAAAAAAAUUGGAGUGAGAAAAACCAGCCCAGUGAAAAUCAGCUGCAGAAAUGCAGAUCAUCCCCACCGAAAGCAAGCGAACAGAGGAGGUCGGCGAGCUCAAAAUCCCAGGCUUUAACCAUUCCUACUUUUUUUAAAUACUAUGUUAUUUGGCAGAUGCCACAUGGGUUACGCUCGUCUUGCCGACAUCUUCCUCAGGACAAGUAUCUUACUUACAUUCCUGUAUAUCUUGUCAGAGAUGGUGAUCAGGCCAGUACUGCACCAAGAAAUGAAAAUUGGAGCAGACUUCACUCUUUUGUAAUGUGGUUUUUAAGACCACGUCAAUUGCUUUUUGCCAUUUGGGGUUUGGCAUCAUGACAUUGGAUUGAAUCAAUCGGCGAUUAUUAAAUGCCUAUAUUACUCAGAUGAGAUUUCCUGAUGUAGACGCCACAUAAGAGCACAUGCCCUUUCUUGAUGGAUAACUUGGAGGAUUGCACAAACAGCUUAUUGCUGAUAAGAAAAGUGUUUGCAAGGCAUGCUGAAUAUCAAGUGUGGAGUGCUCAUUGAACUAGCAUAGCAAGGAAAGAAAGACAUCCUAUUGAGCCAUGUCAAAGUCAAACCAUGACCGGUUGUGAAUACAUGGGUGCUUGAAAGUGCAAAGGCAAAAGAGAGGGAGAGUCCGACAAGCUUUGAGAACUGGACGCAUAUAAUCAUAUUCAUUGUCGGAGAAUUCAACGAUGGGAAUUCCAACAGAGAAUUAUUACCAGCAGUUCAGCUGACUGAAAAAGGAAGAGAAGAAAACAAUUGGAGAUGUUAGGUGGAAGUCAUACUUAGAUUAUACUGGGUUGAUUGGUGCUGGAUACUAGGAAUUAAAAGCUCAUCUAGUCAUAUUCAAAUCUAUUGUUUGUCAAGUCUUACAUGGAAUAAACCUGCAGCUGUAUGCGCAUCCACUGCACCGAUAAGAUCAUCAGCAGUUUCUGUAAGAUUACCAUGCCUAAAACUAUGAAUAUCUUUGUCUAGUGUUGUUUCUUUGAUUGUCAAUGCUUCUACAAAAAGAAAUUAUUGUCAAAAAAAUUUCCCGGUGUUAUUGUGACAUUUUCUGAAUCUCUGAUUUCCGAUUUUGCAAUUGUCUUACUGUCAUCAUCUGUGUGGACAAAAGUGUUGAUCCUUUCAAGAGAAACUCGUAAUGCAGAGAUUGCCUCAGGGAUCAUUCUCACAGGGCAUGGUUCUCAGUGUAUCGAGGAUUGUGAAGCUGUCAAUGGGGUGCUUUCCAAAAAUAUGCAUUGAAGAAAAAUUGACUGCAGAAACUAUAGUUGGCAACAUCCAGUAUUUGUAGUCUAAUGAUUUAGUUCCAUACUCGCUAUUAUUAUCCAAGGGUUUUGAGACUCUUUAUACCUCUGGAACUCGGCUUGAGUGAUAUCAGUGAUUCAAUUAGCUUUUAAAACUUGUAUUCUCAUUGUUGUAUCUUUAUAAUUUUCAAUAUUGUUUAACACCAGAGGGUUGAUGCCCGGAAGAGUCCUGGACCCUACAAUCAUGAGGACUCCGUACAUGAAGAGCUGGAUAAUGAAGCUCCAACCAGAGUGAAGCCACCACAUUGCAUCUACUGUAGAAGAAUCCCUUCUCCUUUGAAGGCUGGUAAGCUUCUGCUCUACUGUUAAAUUAGUCUUUGAAAUAUUGGCUCAUGCAGCUUAACCACAGCCAUACCCCCUACUAAUAUUACAUCAUUGCUUAAUGUCACGGGAGGAGCUCGAAUUGCCCAUACUAAAUUCCCAAGGAUUGAUUCAGGCUAGCCUUCCCCAUAUGAGCAAGCAGCACUAUAAACAACGAUGAUAGAGGAAACAACACACAAUGACACUAACUUGCACCAAGACACAUCAUUAUAAGCACACGUGUAUAGGGAGGUUGCCUCAUGAGAUUUCUUGUGUCCGGGCAUCGGGGAAUCUGUCAACACAUGACAAACUCCCCACCUAAGCCACAAACGCUCUCAUUGGCGCUCCAAGGUUAUUUCCUCGUCCCAUUGCAAGACACAUCACUUGAGCAUACAACCAAGUGAUAUGCGUACAAUGCGCUCGUCCAACAGUGCAGCCGGAUGCUAGCACCAUGUGUCCCCCUCCAUAGCACCACAGUGCGAUUCCUCUUUAAAAUUCUUGCUAGGCAAUAAACCAUGAAUAGUGCAAAGGAAUUUGGUGUUGGGUUAUUUUUAGAUCCACAACAUUUUAUAAGAAGUAAUAGUGCAAAAUAGCAUGUUAUUGAAAUUUGUUUUUAUUUUGUGAGAACCAUAAAUUCACAGUGGAUGUAUGGCGAAGCGAUAAUGAUUUCUUUAA